UUUCCGUAGGUGAACCUGCGGAAGGACCAUUAAUGAGUUGUCAUGGGGUUCGAUGCUGGCAGCCAAUUUUUGGAUGCAUGUGCUUGCCCUAACAAUCAUCUUCCAAACACCUGUGCACAUUUUUGAGGGAGUCUUGGGUUGGUUGCCGCUCUUGGGUGAUUUUCUCACAUUCCCUUAAAUCAUUAUACGCUAUUAACAAUGUUGAACGUGCUCUGUGCCGCAAGGCUAUUAAUAUAAUACAACUUUUAACAACGGAUCUCUUGGCUCUC
rnacentral:misc_RNA from 1 species